GUUUUUCUAGUAAAAAAAAUACGAGUGACUUCCACUCACUUAAUCCUGACACCUGCCCCAGGGAAAAACA
rnacentral:tRNA from 1 species